rnacentral:rRNA from 2 species
GAUGAACGCUGGCGGCGUGCUUAACACAUGCAAGUCGAACGGUGAAGCCAAGCUUGCUUGGUGGAUCAGUGGCGAACGGGUGAGUAACACGUGAGCAACCUGCCCUGGACUCUGGGAUAAGCGCUGGAAACGGCGUCUAAUACUGGAUAUGAGACGUGAUCGCAUGGUCGUGUUUGGAAAGAUUUUUCGGUCUGGGAUGGGCUCGCGGCCUAUCAGCUUGUUGGUGAGGUAAUGGCUCACCAAGGCGUCGACGGGUAGCCGGCCUGAGAGGGUGACCGGCCACACUGGGACUGAGACACGGCCCAGACUCCUACGGGAGGCAGCAGUGGGGAAUAUUGCACAAUGGGCGAAAGCCUGAUGCAGCAACGCCGCGUGAGGGAUGACGGCCUUCGGGUUGUAAACCUCUUUUAGCAGGGAAGAAGCGAAAGUGACGGUACCUGCAGAAAAAGCGCCGGCUAACUACGUGCCAGCAGCCGCGGUAAUACGUAGGGCGCAAGCGUUAUCCGGAAUUAUUGGGCGUAAAGAGCUCGUAGGCGGUUUGUCGCGUCUGCUGUGAAAUCCCGAGGCUCAACCUCGGGCCUGCAGUGGGUACGGGCAGACUAGAGUGCGGUAGGGGAGAUUGGAAUUCCUGGUGUAGCGGUGGAAUGCGCAGAUAUCAGGAGGAACACCGAUGGCGAAGGCAGAUCUCUGGGCCGUAACUGACGCUGAGGAGCGAAAGGGUGGGGAGCAAACAGGCUUAGAUACCCUGGUAGUCCACCCCGUAAACGUUGGGAACUAGUUGUGGGGACCAUUCCACGGUUUCCGUGACGCAGCUAACGCAUUAAGUUCCCCGCCUGGGGAGUACGGCCGCAAGGCUAAAACUCAAAGGAAUUGACGGGGACCCGCACAAGCGGCGGAGCAUGCGGAUUAAUUCGAUGCAACGCGAAGAACCUUACCAAGGCUUGACAUAUACGAGAACGGGCCAGAAAUGGUCAACUCUUUGGACACUCGUAAACAGGUGGUGCAUGGUUGUCGUCAGCUCGUGUCGUGAGAUGUUGGGUUAAGUCCCGCAACGAGCGCAACCCUCGUUCUAUGUUGCCAGCACGUAAUGGUGGGAACUC